GUUAUGCCACGGGCAGAAAAAUACUAGGGAAAAUCACCGCAGGGCCUGGUACUCAGAACUUACAGACUGCUGACAACCCUAGAGUUUAGCAAAUCUUCUCGAAAAGCCCCGAGUUUUACAUUUGCUAACAAGCCACACCUGCCAGUAAUUCCAUCCUUCCGACUUCCCCUCCCACUGUGUUUACUGUUCAGAUGCGCAGAUAAAGUGCAAUGGUAGUCAGGCUCUUGCAGGUGGCUGGAAACUUUCUGGGCAGGUCGGGGCCACUGACUUGUUGGGAGGAGACAGCUUUGGAAAACGGUUCGAACUUGAGGAUAUUCUGCAGCUCCUCACCGAAGCUUUCUGCUUUUCAGUUUAUCAUAUUCCCAUCUCAUACUGAGGCAUUUUGGGCAAGAGUUUACUUCAUUGAAAGCACUGGGACAGACCCAGGAGCAAUGGUUGGAGACUACAGAAAGGCGAAUUGAAUAUUAAUGUCAAAGGAAAUAUCUUAACAAAUGCAGCUAUAAAAAUAGUAAAAUCACCUAUAUUUGGGCUCUUCCUCAAUGAAAAUCAUCCAUGAAAGACUAUGUGACUACUUGUCAGGUAUGCUAUAGUAAGGAUUAAUUUUGGAUAUUAGUUGGGUAAGACGACCACUGAGGACUGUUCCAAUUUUUAAAUUAUGUAAUUAUGGCCAUGUAUUAUUAUUGUUUUACUAGAUUAUUUACUAUAUUACAUGAGGAAAAAGUAUAUGCCAUAUUUAACUUUAUAAUCCACAAUACCAGCACAAUUCUGUUCAAAGUAGGCACUUAAAUAUUUGUUGAUUUGAACUGUUGCAUUUAGUUGAGACAUGACAAAUUGAUAUUUCUUACAAAGAGAACCUUCUAUAAGCAGUCAAAAUAUAAAUAAAUAUAGCAAUGCUUCUUUUUCUUUUUUUAUU
rnacentral:lncRNA from 1 species